rnacentral:rRNA from 1 species
GACGAACGCUGGCGGCGUGCUUAACACAUGCAAGUCGAACGGUGAAGCGCCUUCCUUUUUGGUGGGUGUGGAUGAGUGGCGAACGGGUGAGUGACGCGUGAGUAACCUGCCCCCUUCUUCUGGAUAACCGCAUGAAAGUGUGGCUAAUACGGGAUAUUCUGGGUCUGUCGCAUGAUGGGUCUGGGAAAGAUAUUGUUUCGGUGGGGGAUGGGCUCGCGGCCUAUCAGCUUGUUGGUGGGGUGAUGGCCUACCAAGGCGGUGACGGGUAGCCGGCCUGAGAGGGUGGACGGUCACACUGGGACUGAGACACGGCCCAGACUCCUACGGGAGGCAGCAGUGGGGAAUAUUGCACAAUGGGCGCAAGCCUGAUGCAGCGACGCCGCGUGAGGGAUGGAGGCCUUCGGGUUGUGAACCUCUUUCGCCAGUGAAGCAGGCCUGCCUCGUUUGUGGGUGGGUUGACGGUAGCUGGAUAAGAAGCGCCGGCUAACUACGUG